GAUGAAGAACGCAGCGAAAUGCGAUAAGUAAUGUGAAUUGCAGAAUUCAGUGAAUCAUCGAAUCUUUGAACGCACAUUGCGCCCGUCAGUAUUCUGGCGGGCAUGCCUGUUCGAGCGUCAUUACGCCCCUCAAGUCCCCUGUGGACUUGGUGUUGGGGAUCGGCGAGGCUGGUUUUCCAGCACAGCCGUCCCUUAAAUUAAUUGGCGGUCUCGCCGUGGCCCUCCUCUGCGCAGUAGUAAAACACUCGCAACAGGAGCCCGGCGCGGUCCACUGCCGUAAAACCCCCCAACUUUUUAUAGUUGACCUCGAAUCAGGUAGGACUGCCCGCUGAACUUAAGCAUAUCAAUAAGCGGAGGA
rnacentral:misc_RNA from 1 species